UUCUUUGGGGCAGGGUGAGAUUCCCUACCGGCGGUAAAAGCCCGCGAGCUGCGUUGCAGUUGAUUUGGUGAGAUUCCAAGGCCGACAGUUAUAGUCUGGAUGAGAAAAGG
rnacentral:ncRNA from 1 species